UACGGAGGGUGCAAGCGUUAUCCGGAAUCACUGGGUUUAAAGGGUGCGUAGGCUGUGCAAUAAGUCAGAAGUGAAAUGUUACCGCUUAACGGUAGACCUGCUUUUGAAACUGUUGUGCUUGAAUUAAGUUGAGGUUGGCGGAAUGUGACAUGUAGCGGUGAAAUGCAUAGAUAUGUCAUGGAACACCAAUUGCGAAGGCAGCUGGCUAGACUUUAAUUGACGCUGAGGCACGAAAGCGUGGGGAGCGAACAGG
rnacentral:rRNA from 1 species